CGGGGCGGUGCCAGAGCUGGAGGACCCCCGGCAGCCUGGAGGGGGGAGCACGGAGAGGGAGGAGCCCCGGGACCCCCAGGAGCCUGAAACGGGGGGUGCUGAGAAGGGGAAGCCUGGACAGUGGGGACCCCUGGGAUCCCUGGGACAACAGAGUGGAGAACCUGGAGAGGGGGAAUGUCUGGGAACGUGGCACCCCGAAGGUGAGAGUCAGAGGAGAAGGGACCCCUGGGACCCCCAACACUCCCAGCAUUUUUAAGUUGGACCCCCAGCAUCCCAGACAGGAGAGACCCCUUGAACCCCAAAAGGAAGAGACCAGAGAGGGGGAACUUCUAGGAGACAGUUUUGGGCCAAGUCUUCAUAUUUUGGAGUAUUUUCUGGCUGAACCUUAACUUUUUGCAGUUUGAGGGGGGGGUUCAUCUCGCUGUUUCUCAGGGGGUUUUUGGCUGAAUCUCAGAGGUUUGGGUUUUUCUGGGCUUAAUCCUGGUGUUUUGGAGGUUUUUAUGGUCACAGGAUGCCCGGUGAGUUCUAGAGAUGGACUUGGGCAGGAGGAACCCCCAAGCCAACACACUCAGCCCUUGUUUUCCCCCCCAUCAGGAUUUGUCCUUCCCAAAGCUUGGCCAGAUGAAGGAGGCUGUGAGGAAGAGGAAGAUGCCUUGGGCCCCCCAGGCAGGUACGUCCACUUCCACCCCCGCCGGUUGUAAAGCAGAGCAAAGCUAAUGUAGGAUAGCAAAACAAGAAUCAGAGAGUUAAUUUAGGAUGCAUACUCUGAGCAAAAGCAUAGAGAACUAAGUCUCAGGAACAACGGAGAUAAUAACUCAUUAAAGAAUUCUAAACACAUUGACACAGAGAACAUGGAGUGCACAGGAAAACAGAGAGAACAAAAAUGCUGACAUACACAUAAAAUAGACGUAUGGAGGGGAAACAGAGGGAGAUAAGGGAAAGGAGAAGAGCCAAGGACUAGGCACUCUUGCCAAAUAUCAGAAACUCCUGCCAGGUACAUGUGAGAGUCAGCCAAACUAAAGGGAGUUCAGAAGUUCACCUGAGUAAGAGGAGUAGAUUCAGGACCAUUGAGGCCGAAGUAACAGGAUGUACCCCGGAAAGCCUCCCCAAAACGAAGACUGCACCCCUGACUCCACCUCAACUCUGCCUGUUACGAAUAUUAUAACUAGAUGUUGCAAUAUUAUGAAUAUUCAUGAAAAGUGAUGUAAUCUUUUAGCAAGAAUUGUAUAAAUACUCCAGCUGUUCACUGCUUGCUUUGAAUAAAUACCUCCUGCUUAUAGACUAAAAA